CAGAAACCGGCGCACGGGUGCGUAACGCGUAUGCAACCUACCUUUCACAGGGGGAUAGCCCGAAGAAAUUUGGAUUAAUACCCCAUAAUAUUAUUGGAUGGCAUCAUUUGAUAAUUAAAAUUACGAUGGUGAAAGAUGGGCAUGCGUCCUAUUAGCUAGUUGGAGUGGUAACGGCACCCCAAGGCUACGAUAGGUAGGGGUCCUGAGAGGGAGAUCCCCCACACUGGUACUGAGACAGGGACCAGACUCCUACGGGAGGCAGCAGUGAGGAAUAUUGGUCAAUGGUCGGAAGACUGAACCAGCCAUGCCGCGUGCAGGAAGAAUGCCUUAUGGGUUGUAAACUGCUUUUAUAUGGGAAGAAUAAGGAGUACGUGUACUUUGAUGACGGUACCAUAUGAAUAAGCAUCGGCUAACUCCGUGCCAGCAGCCGCGGUAAUACGGAGGAUGCGAGCGUUAUUCGGAAUCAUUGGGUUUAAAGGGUCUGUAGGCGGGCUAUUAAGUCAGGGGUGAAAGGUUUCAGCUUAACUGAGAAAUUGCCUUUGAUACUGGUAGUCUUGAAUAUCUGUGAAGUUCUUGGAAUGUGUAGUGUAGCGGUGAAAUGCUUAGAUAUUACACAGAACACCGAUUGC
rnacentral:rRNA from 1 species